GACGAACGCUGGCGGCGUGCUUAACACAUGCCAGUCGAACGGAAAGGCCCUGCUUUUGCGGGGUGCUCGAGUGGCGAACGGGUGAGUAACACGUGAGUAACCUGCCCUUGACGUUGGGAUAACUUCAGGAAACUGGGGCUAAUACCGGCGAGGUGCUCCUGCUGCAUGGGGGGGGCUGGAAAGUUUCGGCGGUUGGGGAUGGACUCGCGGGUUAUCAGCUUGUUGGUGGGGGAGUGGCUUACCAAGGCUUUGACGGGUAGCCGGCCUGAGAGGGUGACCGGCCACCAUGGGACUGAGAGACGGCGCAGACUGCUACGGGAGGCAGCAGUGGGGAAUAUUGCACAAUGGGGGGAAGCCUGAGGCGGCAACGCCGGGGUCGGGAUGACGGCCUUCGGGUUGUAAACCGCUUUGGGCUGUGACGAAGCGUGAGUGACGGUAAUGGGUAAAGAAGCACCGGCUAACUACGUG
rnacentral:rRNA from 1 species